GAUCAUGGCUCAGGAUGAACGCUGGCGGCGUGCCUAACACAUGCAAGUCGAACGAAGCGGUUUUGGUGAAGUUUUCGGAUGGAACCGAGAUUGACUGAGUGGCGGACGGGUGAGUAACGCGUGGGUAACCUGCCUCACACAGGGGGAUAACAGUUAGAAAUGACUGCUAAUACCGCAUAAGCGCACGGAGACGCAUGUCUUUGUGUGAAAAGCCUUAACGGUGUGAGAUGGACCCGCGU
rnacentral:rRNA from 1 species